UGAGGAAUAUUGGUCAAUGGACGCAAGUCUGAACCAGCCACGUCGCGUGAAGGAAGACGGCCCUACGGGUUGUAAACUUCUUUUAUACGGGAAUAAAGUGCCCCACGCGUGGGGUUUUGCAAGUACCGUACGAAUAAGGAUCGGCUAACUCCGUGCCAGCAGCCGCGGUAAUACGGAGGAUCCGAGCGUUAUCCGGAUUUAUUGGGUUUAAAGGGUGCUCAGGCGGGGGGUUAAGUCGGCGGUGAAAUUUUGCAGCUCAACUGUAAAAGUGCCUUCGAAACUGGUCCCCUUGAGUGCGGAUGAGGUAGGCGGAAUUUGUGGUGUAGCGGUGAAAUGCAUAGAUAUCACGAGGAACUCCGAUUGCGCAGGCAGCUUACCAGGCCGUAACUGACGCUCAAGCACGAAGGCGUGGGGAUCAAACA
rnacentral:rRNA from 1 species